AACGAACGCUGGCGGCAUGCCUAAUACAUGCAAGUCGAACGAGAUCUUCGGAUCUAGUGGCGCACGGGUGCGUAACGCGUGGGAAUCUGCCCUUGGGUUCGGAAUAACAGCGGGAAACUGCUGCUAAUACCGGAUGAUGACGUAAGUCCAAAGAUUUAUCGCCCAGGGAUGAGCCCUCGUAGAAUUAGGUAGUUGGUGGGGUAAAGGCCUACCAAGCCUACGAUCCUUAGCUGGUCUGAGAGGAUGAUCAGCCACACUGGGACUGAGACACGGCCCAGACUCCUACGGGAGGCAGCAGUAGGGAAUAUUGGACAAUGGGGGCAACCCUGAUCCAGCAAUGCCGCGUGAGUGAUGAAGGCCUUAGGGUUGUAAAGCUCUUUUACCCGGGAUGAUAAUGACAGUACCGGGAGAAUAAGCCCCGGCUAACUCCGUGCCAGCCGCCGCAGUAA
rnacentral:rRNA from 1 species